AACGAACGCUGGCGGCAGGCUUAACACAUGCAAGUCGAACGAUGUAGCAAUACAUAGUGGCGCACGGGUGAGUAACGCGUGGGAAUGUACCUUUUAGUGGGGGAUAACUCCGGGAAACUGGAGCUAAUACCGCAUACGCCCUUCGGGGGAAAGAUUUAUCGCUAAAAGAUCAGCCCGCGUGAGAUUAUGGUAGUUGGUGAGGUAAUGGCUCACCAAGCCGACGAUCUCUAGCUGGUCUGAGAGGACGACCAGCCACACUGGAACUGAGACACGGUCCAGACUCCUACGGGAGGCAGCAGUGGGGAAUAUUGGGCAAUGGAGGCAACUCUGACCCAGCCAUGCCGCGUGAGUGAUGAAGGCUCUAGGGUUGUAAAGCUCUUUCGCCGAUGAAGAUAAUGACGGUAGUCGGAGAAGAAGCCCCGGCUAACUUCGUGCCAGCAGCCGCCGUAA
rnacentral:rRNA from 1 species